UACGGAGGAUGCAAGCGUUAUCCGGAAUCAUUGGGCGUAAAGCGUCCGUAGGUGGCUUUUCAAGUCUGCCGUCAAAGACCGGGGCUUAACCCCAGAAAGGCGGUGGAAACUGAAUAGCUAGAGUGCAGUAGGGGUAGAGGGAAUUCCCGGUGUAGCGGUGAAAUGCGUAGAGAUCGGGAAGAACACCCGUGGCGAAGGCGGUUCUCUGGGACGGUACUGACGCUGAGACGCGAAAGCGUGGGGAGCGAACAGG
rnacentral:rRNA from 1 species